rnacentral:misc_RNA from 1 species
UCUCCGUUGGUGAACCAGCGGAGGGAUCAUUACCGAGUUUACAACUCCCAAACCCAAUGUGAACGUUACCAAACUGUUGCCUCGGCGGGGUCACGCCCCGGGUGCGUCGCAGCCCCGGAACCAGGCGCCCGCCGGAGGAACCAACCAAACUCUUUCUGUAGUCCCCUCGCGGACGUUAUUUCUUACAGCUCUGAGCAGAAAUUCAAAAUGAAUCAAAACUUUCAACAACGGAUCUCUUGGAUCUG